CUUAUCAAUUUAAUAUCUGAUACGUCCCCCAUCGGGGGACCACAUAUUAAACGGAUUUUUGGAACAGGGAGCUGGAUCAGGAGCUUGCUCCAUCCUCUCCACGCAUCGGCCCGGUAUUGCAGUGCCUCCGGGAGCGGUGC
rnacentral:snRNA from 1 species